GUGUUUGUUACGCAUUCUGGUAAAUGCGCGUACUUUGUUGUUUAUCUCCAGAGGGAAACCGGUGGAUUAUUGAAUGAAGCACGCCAGCUAAACUUAGUUUUUGGGGAUAUAAAGAAGGACUUUAUCGAACAAAACAACCAUUUGUGAUGUAGCUGGGACCUUUUGGAGUGCCAACAGAAGAUCUUCAAAGGACCUGAGCCCUAGGACCAUGCCUCAGGACUACCUGGCAUGAUGACUCCUUGCUGUCCCCAGUCCACCUGGCCGUGCUGCUGCUCCAGUUUCAACUGUUCUGCCUGCGGCUAUGGAACCCUGACCUGUUCACCGGACGUGCUUGUUGCACCCUCGACAACUACUAUGAUUAUUAUUAUUUGACCAUGCUGGUCAUUUAUGAACAUUUUAACAUCUUUACCAUGUUCUGUUAUAAUAUCCACCCGGCACAGUCAGAAGAGGACUGGCCACUCCUCAUAGCCUGGUUUCUUCCUAGGUUUUUGGCCUUUCUAGGGAGUUUUUCCUAGGGAGUUUUUCCUAGCCACCGUGCUUCUUUC
rnacentral:lncRNA from 1 species